CCUACGGGUGGCUGCAGUGGGGAAUAUUGGACAAUGGGGGGAACCCUGAUCCAGCGAUGCCGCGUGUGUGAAGAAGGCCCUCGGGUUGUAAAGCACUUUCAGUGAGGAAGAACGCCUGGUGGUUAAUACCCAUCAGGAAAGACAUCACUCACAGAAGAAGCACCGGCUAACUCCGUGCCAGCAGCCGCGGUAAUACGGAGGGUGCGAGCGUUAAUCGGAAUUACUGGGCGUAAAGCGCGCGUAGGUGGCUUGAUAAGCCGGUUGUGAAAGCCCCGGGCUCAACCGGGGAACGGCAUCCGGAACUGUCAAGCUAGAGUGCAGGAGAGGAAGGUAGAAUUCCCGGUGUAGCGGUGAAAUGCGUAGAGAUCGGGAGGAAUACCAGUGGCGAAGGCGGCCUUCUGGACUGACACUGACACUGAGGUGCGAAAGCGUGGGUAGCAAACAGGAUUAGAUACCCGAGUAGUC
rnacentral:rRNA from 1 species